UCCGUUACUUCAUCUAAACCAGUUGCCUAACAACGAGAGGAGGGGAGAAGGUUGGAAAAAACUGGAAGAAAUAAGUUGCAGGUUUUUUACAGAGGUGCGUUUGAUUGAUGCUUCUUAUAUUACCAUCAUUUAAUUAUAAUUAUUACAUAUUAUCAAUGGCAGAUCAAAAACGGAGGAUAUGAAAAGAUCGCCGUCGCCAAACCCGAGCUCUUUUACAUCCAAUCUUCUUGGAGGGAGGUUUUGUCUUUGUUCUCCGACGACGCAUCCCGGCUCUUUCCGACGACGCUUGCAACCACCGUAACGAAAACAAACAAUCAAAUCAUCGGGGUGCCAACACCAUCAAGAACUUUGUUCCCUCCUCCAAGACCGAAGAAAAUAUCUAUUACCUCAACUACUGCAACUAAAGUUUUUGAUUCCACCGGGGUGUCAUAAUCAAGAACUUUGUUCCCUCCUCCUCGACCAAGGAAUUUAUCUUCCGAAACUGAAUUUCUUGAUUCUACAGAGAAUAAAGAAACAACAUCACACUCCUGGCAAGAAUAAAUAAGAUGAAUUCAAAUUCAAAUUUUAUUUGAUUUUAUUUUUUUAAAUAAUUUCAAGCAUUUUUCUUCUUUAUUAAAUUCCAAUAUCGGCAUUAUAAUGUAAUCUGAAACACAGUAAAACAGUUGUUUGCUUAUGAAAUACUAUAAAUAUUGAUGAUCCUAUGAUAAUUAUUAGAAAGGUUUAAAAAACAACAUUUUCAGGAUAAACAGAGCUGUUGAUUCAUUAUUGGCAUCAAAGAUUUGCAACCAUUGCCAGUUUCUGAAGAAAGGAAAUAAAAAAAAAGAUAAGAAAACAAGAUUGAACUAACUUUCAACUUAUUUGCAAUCUGACCCAACAACCGCAUCCACCAAUUGAUCGAUCUUCUUGUCGGAAUUCUUGACGUCCACCACCUCCCCAUCUCCAGAUCGAUUAUCUCCGCCUUCGUCGCCGGAAUCGGAAAGGUCAAGGGACCGUGACCGACUGACGUAGAGGGGAACCGAAGUACUAAUGUGAGAUGCAGAUAUUAUGGACAUUGAUAGCGGUUAUCUGUGGUAUGAAUCGAGGGUGGUGCACGACUAGAUCCCGUGCGGGUUGAUUUUAUAUCCAAGGAAAUGUCCUUAUGUCACCUUGAACGUGCAUUUCUUGGCCUUCAAACGUAGGUCUGCCUUUCGGAUGUUGGCUAAAUUUAAUUUCUUAAUUUCAGGUUGGACAGGUGGUCUUGUUAUACAUUGGACUGGACUAAGAUAUCAUUUACGUAUACCUCGACAUUUCUUCCGAUCUGGUUCGCGAAGAUUCGGUCAAUUAACCUUUGGAAUGUUGUUCCCACAUUCCGGAGCCCGAACGGCAUUACCCGUAAAAAGAACGUGUCAUGCUCGGUUACGAAAGACGUUUUUUUCGGUCCUAAUUCGCCCAGUAUGCUGCCUCGGUUCGUGUCACCCCGGAGGGUCUCAUUAUCAUCCUAUGAGAAACCCAAGAGGGUUGUUAAUCUCUUCUUCGUUGUCUUUAAAGUUUAAAGGGUCAUAUUACUUAUAAUAAUACAAAGAUAACAAAAUAAAUGGAAACAAAAUAAUAUAGGGUUAAAUAUGCAAAUUAUUAAAUUUGAAGAUUGUUAUUUCCAAGAUCUUCUAUAAAUGAUCGAAUUCCGUUACUUCAUCUAAACCAGUUGCCUAACAACGAGAGGAGGGGAGAAGGUUGGAAAAAACUGGAAGAAAUAAGUUGCAGGUUUUUUACAGAGGUGCGUUUGAUUGAUGCUUCUUAUAUUACCAUCAUUUAAUUAUAAUUAUUACAUAUUAUCAAUGGCAGAUCAAAAACGGAGGAUAUGAAGAGAUCGCCGUCGCCAAACCCGAGCUCUUUUACAUCCAAUCUUCUUGGAGGGAGGUUUUGUCUUUGUUCUCCGACGACGCAUCCCGGCUCUUUCCGACGACGCUUGCACCCACCGUAACGAAAACAAACAAUCAAAUCAUCGGGGUGCCAACACCAUCAAGAACUUUGUUCCCUCCUCCAAGACCGAAGAAAAUAUCUAUUACCUCAACUACUGCAACUAAAGUUUUUGAUUCCACCGGGGUGUCAUAAUCAAGAACUUUGUUCCCUCCUCCUCGACCAAGGAAUUUAUCUUCCGAAACUGAAUUUCUUGAUUCUAUAGAGAAUAAAGAAACAACAUCACACUCCUGGCAAGAAUAAAUAAGAUGAAUUCAAAUUCAAAUUUUAUUUGAUUUUAUUUUUUUAAAUAAUUUCAAGCAUUUUUCUUCUUUAUUAAAUUCCAAUAUCGGCAUUAUAAUGUAAUCUGAAACACAGUAAAACAGUUGUUUGCUUAUGAAAUACUAUAAAUAUUGAUGAUCCUAUGAUAAUUAUUAGAAAGGUUUAAAAAACAACAUUUUCAGGAUAAACAGAGCUGUUGAUUCAUUAUUGGCAUCAAAGAUUUGCAACCAUUGCCAGUUUCUGAAGAAAGGAAAUAAAAAAAAAAGAUAAGAAAACAAGAUUGAACUAACUUUCAACUUAUUUGCAAUCUAACCCAACAACCGCAUCCACCAAUUGAUCGAUCUUCUUGUCGGAGUUCUUGACGUCCACCACCUCCCCACCUCCAGAUCGAUUAUCUCCGCCUUCGUCGCCGGAAUCGGAAAGGUCAAGGGACCGUGACCGACUGACGUAGAGGGGAACCGAAGUACUAAUGUGAGAUGCAGAUAUUAUGGACAAUGAUAGCGGUUAUCUGUGGUAUGAAUCGAGGGUGGUGCACGACUAGAUCCCGUGCGGGUUGAUUUUAUAUCCAAGGAAAUGUCCUUAUGUCACCUUGAACGUGCAUUUCUUGGCCUUCAAACGUAGGUCUGCCUUUCGGAUGUUGGCUAAAUUUAAUUUCUUAAUUUCAGGUUGGACAGGUGGUCUUGUUAUAUAUUGGACUGGACUAAGAUAUCAUUUACGUAUACCUCGACAUUCCUUUCGAUCUGGUUCGCGAAGAUUCGGUCAAUUAACCUUUGGAAUGUUGUUCCCACGUUCCGGAGCCCGAACGGCAUUACCCGGAAAAAGAACGUGUCAUGCUCGGUUACGAAAGACGUUUUUUUCGGUCCUACUUCGCCCAGUAUGCUGCCUCGGUUCUUGUCACCCCGGAGGGUCUCAUUAUCAUCCUAUGAGAAACCCAAGAGGGUUGUUAAUCUCUUCUUCGUUGUCUUUAAAGUUUAAAGGGUCAUAUUACUUAUAAUAAUACAAAGAUAACAAAAUAAAUGGAAACAAAAUAAUAUAGGAUUAAAUAUGCAAAUUAUUAAAUUUGAAGAUUGUUAUUUCCAAGAUCUUCUAUAAAUGAUCGAAUUCCGUUACUUCAUCUAAACCAGUUGCCUAACAACGAGAGGAGGGGAGAAGGUUGAAAAAAACUGGAAGAAAUAAGUUGCAGGUUUUUUACAGAGGUGCGUUUGAUUGAUGCUUCUUAUAUUACCAUCAUUUAAUUAUAAUUAUUACAUAUUAUCAAUGGCAGAUCAAAAACGGAGGAUAUGAAGAGAUCGCCGUCGCCAAACCCGAGCUCUUUUACAUCCAAUCUUCUUGGAGGGAGGUUUUGUCUUUGUUCUCCGACGACGCAUCCCGGCUCUUUCCGACGACGCUUGCAUCCACCGUAACGAAAACAAACAAUCAAAUCAUCGGGGUGCCAAUACCAUCAAGAACUUUGUUCCCUCCUCCAAGACCGAAGAAAAUAUCUAUUACCUCAACUACUGCAACUAAAGUUUUUGAUUCCACCGAGGUGUCAUAAUCAAGAACUUUGUUCCCUCCUCCUCGACCAAGGAAUUUAUCUUCCGAAACUGAAUUUCUUGAUUCUACAGAGAAUAAAGAAACAACAUCACACUCCUGACAAGAAUAAAUAAGAUGAAUUCAAAUUCAAAUUUUAUUGGAUUUUUUUAAAUAAUUUCAAGCAUUUUUCUUCUUUAUUAAAUUCCAAUAUCGGCAUUAUAAUGUAAUCUGAAACACAGUAAAACAGUUGUUUGCUUAUGAAAUACUAUAAAUAUUGAUGAUCCUAUGAUAAUUAUUAGAAAGGUUUAAUAAACAACAUUUUCAGGAUAAACAGAGCUGUUGAUUCAUUAUUGGCAUCAAAG
rnacentral:lncRNA from 1 species